UGGCGACAAUUAGCUCCAGUAAUCUCUCAUAGCAAAGCUAAAAGAACAACGUUCAGGCCUGUUUGUUUGGCUUCUUUAUGUAGCACAAUAGUCUCUGACUCGUGCUGGAAUCACUUGCUUUCGAGCUGCAAUAUAAAUGAAGUCAGUAGUAACUUGACUCAAAUUCUAAUUUUCUUGCUGUGAGUAGGUUAACACAGUUCUGCAGCUGGCUCUAGUUGCUGCAGCUCUACUUCAACCAGGAUUUGGAAGUGAAGAAACUCUACUUUAUAUCGACUAUUUGAGCUGGUUGGUGGCUUCUACUACAGUUGCUUCAAGUGCGGCUUAUGGGGUUCAAUACUGGAGAUUACACUCAAAAAGGAUAAAGUUUUAAUUGUGAAAGCAUAAGGAUUGCAGUUUUUUGUUAAGAGAUUAGAUUCUUUGUUAUUUGGUUAGAAGAAAUGAAUAAAAUGUAGACUCAAAUUAUUGCAAAGAGCAAAAUAUAUGACACAGCAGAUGCUGAGUGAUAUAAGAAGAAAACAAAACUAGACGGUAGGAGAAAUCUCUGUUUCAUUUGGCAAUUCCAUUUCAAUUUGUUCCCAAAUUUCUGCAUUUCUGCGGAAUCUCUUCUUGAGAAGUUGUAUAAUUUGACCGGGCUCGUCAAGCUUGUUCGUUGAGGCCAGUCCACGAACGAGCGUACUCAUGGUCGUAACGUUAGGGAACCAACCAUUGGAAAUACAGUUGUCGCAGAUCCUCAACGCACCCUCAAAAUCCUUUCCCUGACACAGAAAAUGCACCAAUGUGAAAAAACACUCGGCUUUUCCGCCUUCAACCCUUUACCGACCAUCUCGUCGUACAAAUCCUUUGCUGCGUCCAGCUCCCCUUGCCUGCAGAAGAUGUACAAUUACAAGGGCUUCUUUUGCAUGACUGGUUUCUGCAAAACUAAGGUAUGUGUCAGAAUAUGUUGGAUAUUUUCGUGACUGCUUCAUUUUUUUUUUCACUUGAUGACUUAACCUUUAGAUAUGGUCCGCAUUAUUGUGGUAGCAUUUGUGUAUCUGAGUAGCCGUUUGUGAUGGGAAAGAACGAGACAGAGAUUUAUGUUAAGGUUAUUUUUAAACAUUUAAGAUUUCAUAUCGGUCUGCAUACUUGUGGAGCACCAUACGAAAUAAAAUAUGGAGUACUAUAUUGGUUAGUGUUGAAGAUGGAUUUUUGCAGAGAAAUAUAUUGACUGCUCUAAGCUUUUGACUUUUCUAGAGGUUUGAGGAGAACCAUUAUGGCAUGCUGAAUCUCCGUUUCAUUAUGAUUGGUGACAACACUGCAAGGAUUAUGAUUUAAUUGCAUUUGUAUCUGAUACUACUUAUAAAAUAUAUAAUCUCCUAUAUUAGAUCCCGUGUGAGGUUAUGGAGGCCUUGGAGCCUAUCAAGGACAAUGAAGAGGUCCUACGGUAUUCACCUAGGAACAUAAAUGUGCAAGAAGAUUCUGGCUAGUGGGAUCCGAACUCUACAUCUCUAAACCUUAAACAUGGAGAAAUCUGCUCUGGAGAUAUUGGCAGUUAGUAUUCUUAAAAACCCCUGACUUAUCUAAACUCCCAUUGCAAGAUCUUGGACUCAUUGAGGAGUCCAAAAUAUCAAGGUCCUUACGAUGGAGACGUCCGACAAAUAUUUUCAGGGUAAAGGAAGGUGUUCGCCCAAUUUUGUAGUAAUAUUUUCUUAUUAUAACUAAUUUUCCCUGACAAGAAUUAUGUUCGAACCUUGUAACUUUGUGGCAGUUCAUGCGACCACGCUCCCGUGACAAGAAGCUUCAAGAAGAAUGGGCUGUUCCUUUGAAAAGUGUUGAAGAUAUUUAUGAGAAAUUGGGAAACUUAGAAGCAGUCCAUGGUCUGAACUAGAUCCAAAAUCAUUAAUGAGAAUCUUAGUGGUAUAAACUUGAAAGGUUUUCUCACCAUCAACAGCCAACCUGCUGUUAACGGAGCUAACUCUGAUUCACCAACUGUUGAUAAUUCAGCCUACCGUUGUGGAUCCUGCAAGCUUCAUGGUAUGGAAGGAUGAGUCAUUUGAAGUCUGGUCGAGAGUAUGGGCUAACCUUUACCCUGAAGCAGAGCAGACCCAUAAUCGAGGAGGCGAAGAAGAACAGGUAGGUAUUACUUGGUCAGUUUGGUGGACAACGAUUACGUCCACGCUGAUCUGUUUGCUGUUUUCAAAAGCAUUUGAAAUGAUUUCAUGAAUGUUUGCUUUUCGAUGUAAUUCAGCAUUCUUGCCCAUGUUCAGGCUGCUUCUAUUCUAUGUACUAAAUCUCGGAUUUUGGCUUUUCCCAACUCAUCAUGUAACCUUAAAUAAUUUUUUGGUAAUUUUCAAAUGUUACACGUA